UAUCCAUGUGGCCAACUUGUAUGGUGGGUUAUUUCGGUUUGGUUGACUAUCUGUCAUCGUUGUCUUUGACCACCACCACCCCCCCCCCCCCCCCCCUCCUUUUCUUUUCUUCUUGUUGUUUUGCUUUUGCUUGCGGUUUGAUGCCGUCCAUCCCACGCUUUGCUCCGCUAGAGGUCCUCUUCGAGCGCCUCUCUGUUGUCCGAUGACGCCGCCCGUUUAUUGCUUUGCUCCGCUAGAGGUUCUCUUUGAGCUCCUCCCUACUGUUCGAUGACACCGCCCGUCCAUAGCUUCGCUUCGCUAGAGGUUCUUGGUUCGUUCUUCGAUGAAUCUAGGCACCAUUAUCACCGCAAGGCACUGAAUCGAGGAUAGUUGGUUGCCCUCCUAUUUUGACGAGGAUAAUGAUGGGACGUGAGUGGUGAAUAGCCAUGACCCCUUCAUCCCGACAAUCAGACAGUUGUGAACGUGGUCCGGUUGGAUAUGUUGUUGGGUCCGAUGACCAAAAUCCAACGUCGUCAGUUCUGCAAAGGCUGGCAUUAAUCCCGGAGGGUCCCGUUGUUCGUGUGACCAUGAGGUCGGUAUUCCAGUGGGGCUAAAAGAAAUAGGGGGACGGGCUACAAUGCUUUAAACGCUAGCUCGACUAUAAAGAGUAGGAGAAACACGGACUGGCUGAAACCGGACAACCAAAAGGCAGACUAAUCCACUCAUUUUAUUUGGGAGGAUCCCGCCAGUAUUUCUUCCUUGGAGCAGUUCGAGAGGAAACAUAGGAAAAUUCAGACAAGUUCAGGGGCUACUGACCGUGUACUACAUUGGGUUGCCAUAGAUGCUGGGAAGACCGUCAAUGGGAAGGCCUUAUGGCCCAACAUGAUAGCAACGAGAGCCCUCGGUUCUGCAGGGAGUCCGCCUUUCAGAUGUUCCUCGUCUUAGCGGCAAGCCAAGAACCCCUCAACCGAUCGAAGCUCUAGAUCGAUUGGAAAAAUGUAACCCUAGACCUGAUCCUUCUAUAUAAGGCAAGGUUGGGGGUAGCUCUAGAUCAUCUGACCCAUUGUUGUCACCUCGGUAGCAAUAAUCCACUCAUAUUGUAACCCCUUCAUACGAGGUGUUUUUUCCUCAAUCAAUCAAAGCAAAGCAAGAGUAGGGUUUUACCUCGACCA